rnacentral:lncRNA from 1 species
CGACACCUGUCUCUGAACUGACACCAUCAAGACUGAGUAUUUUUAUCAUUGAGUAUUGCAAAUAGUUCUCUUGUGUUGAAGAGCAACGAAAAGAGAAGCUGAAGAAAGUAAACUGUGAGGGAAUGCUUCACUCAUAUCUACUAUGAGUGAUAUCUAAGUUGGUGUGGAAGUAACUUGUCCAGGUUGAUGAGCUAUUCCAUACUUUUAAGGACCCAAGGGAAUAAAAUCGAGUAUUGGAGCCAGGGACAUAAAAAUGAAAUGAAGUGGCACACACCUUUAUUCCCAGCACUCGGGAGGCAGAUGCAGGCGGAUUUCUGAGUUCGAGGCCAGCCUCGUCUGCAGAGUGAGUUCCAGGACAGCCAGGGCUAUACCGAAAAACCCUGUCUAAAAAAAAAAGAAAGAAAGAAAGAAAGAAAGAAAGAAAGAAAGAAAGAAAGAAAGAAGGAAGGAAAGAAGGAAGGAAAGAAAGAAAUGAAGACCCAAUCUCCAAUGGCCAAGUCUUAGUCUCAACCAAGUGACAAGGAUUGGGAAAUUCAUCCAUGAGACAAGCUAGUAACAUAGAAUAAACUCAUAGGAGUGCACACAUAGAUGCGUUACUAAGCCACAGCUUGCUCAGAAAAAAACUACAUUAAGCUUUGGUUUCUAGAGUAUGUUUAUUGCACUCUUCUAAUGAAUCUCCCCAUUAGUUACACAUUCCUACAUCAGAUAUUCUACAGUAGCAGAUUCUUGAUUUUAAAAUCCUCUACUGCUUUGGCUUAUUAUGUUCCAAUGAGAUAAAAAAUCCAGUAACUUCUUUGCAUAAUCAAUAGCAAUAGUUUAGAUACUUCUAUCACUUGCCAAAGGGGCGAAAAAGGCAGAUGGCUUAGUAAAAUGAUCAACCUUCUUUUCUCUUUUUACUUAUCAAAAGAGAUAUUUUCUUUUUUUAAAAUCUGUUUAAGUUCUAGAAAUAAAGUUUUAUUUUAUUGAUCCUUGUUAAAGGAAAAAUAAGUGGUUAAAUUCCACAAUAAGAACUGUGUGAUUUUUUUUCCUUUAUUAAAAAAACAAGUUUUUUUUUUCCUUUUUACAGUUUUCCUCAAAUUUCUUCCAUUGGGCCAAAAUCCAAUUAAUGAACUUCUGAACAUUUAAACUGAACAUUUUAAUAGACAUAUACUGUGUAAUAUAUUUUAUUAGGUGAAUUUUUCUUAUUCCAAAAAUAAGAUGCUGUAUUAAGUCUCAAAAACAAGGUGGCAUGUUAAAUAACACAGACGUUAGAUAGUCCACUGGGGUUUUUUGUUGUUGUUGUUGUUUUGUUUGUUUUGUUUUUGUUUUUGUUUUUGGAGUUGCGGCCCUGUUGGCUGAGCAUAUUAUGAGUUACAAGUUGGGUUAUUCAAGUCAUCCAUGGAAAAGUUGUACCCAUAUAGAGGUUUGUGGAUGGGGCUGAGAGGUCAACAUGUUCUUCUAAGUCAGUGGUUCUCAACCUUCCUAAUGCUGCGACCCUUUAAUGCAGGUUCAUUUUAAUGUUGUGAUGUCUCCCAAUCAUAAAAUCAUUUUAGUUGCUACUUUAUAACAGUAAUCUUGCUGCUAUUAUGAAUCACAAUAUAACUAUCUGAUAUGCCAGGCCUCUGAUGGGUUACUGCUAUGAAAGGGUCCUUUGACACACAAAACGGUUGUGACCCACAAGUUGAGAUAAGGGGUGAAGCACAGACUUUCUGAUUGAAAAACUACCACCUGGAUUUGUAAACAAUGACAAAAUAACCUUUUCCCCCUUUCAGUUUUGUUUUGUUUUCUUUUGUAUGAAGGGGCUGUAUGUGGCAAGCCUGUGAAGAACCUAAUUGGGACAUUGCUGUGAACAAUAUCAUGUAUGCAUCAUUGUGAUUUACAAACAUAUGCUUCCCCUUCAAUAAAUGUCACGGCUUUCACAGCG